UACGAAGGGGGCUAGCGUUGUUCGGAAUCACUGGGCGUAAAGCGCACGUAGGCGGGUCUUUAAGUCGGGGGUGAAAUCCUGGAGCUCAACUCCAGAACUGCCUUCGAUACUGGAAGACUUGAGUCCGGGAGAGGUGAGUGGAACUGCGAGUGUAGAGGUGAAAUUCGUAGAUAUUCGCAAGAACACCAGUGGCGAAGGCGGCUCACUGGCCCGGUACUGACGCUGAGGUGCGAAAGCGUGGGGAGCAAACAGG
rnacentral:rRNA from 1 species